rnacentral:rRNA from 1 species
CGAAAGCCUGACGGAGCAAUACCGCGUGAGGGAGGAAGGCUCUUGGGUUGUAAACCUCUUUUCUCAAGGAAUAAGAAAGUGAAGGUACUUGAGGAAUCAGCAUCGGCUAACUCCGUGCCAGCAGCCGCGGUAAUACGGAGGAUGCAAGCGUUAUCCGGAAUUAUUGGGCGUAAAGCGUCCGUAGGCGGUUUUUCAAGUCUGCUGUUAAAGCGUGCAGCUUAACUGCAUAUCGGCAGUGGAAACUGAGAGACUAGAGUGUAGUAGGGGUAGAGGGAAUUCCUGGUGUAGCGGUGAAAUGCGUAGAUAUCAGGAAGAACACCGGUGGCGAAAGCGCUCUGCUGGGCCGCAACUGACACUCAGGGACGAAAGCUAGGGGAGCG